rnacentral:rRNA from 1 species
AUUGAACGCUGGCGGCAGGCCUAACACAUGCAAGUCGAGCGGAUGAAGGGAGCUUGCUCCUGGAUUCAGCGGCGGACGGGUGAGUAAUGCCUAGGAAUCUGCCUGGUAGUGGGGGAUAACGUCCGGAAACGGGCGCUAAUACCGCAUACGUCCUGAGGGAGAAAGUGGGGGAUCUUCGGACCUCACGCUAUCAGAUGAGCCUAGGUGGGAUAAGCUAGUUGGUGAGGUAAAGGCCUACCAAGGCGACGAUCCGUAACUGGCCUGAGAGGAGGAUCGGUCACAUGGGAACUAGAAAACGGCCCAGACUCCUACGGAAGGCAGCGUGGGGGAAAUUGGAGCAAUGGCCGAAGGCCUGACCAAGCAAGGCGGGUGGGGUGAGGAAGUGCUGCGGUUGGAAAACAUUUGUAAUUGGGAGAAAAGAAAGUAAUAUAUUACCUUGCUGGUUUUGAGUGAACAACAGAAGAAGGACCCGCCUACCUCGUG